GCCAGGCAUGGUGGCCGGUGCCUGUAAUCCCAGCUACCUGGGAGGCUGAGGCAGGAGAAUUGCUUGAACCUGGGAGGUGGAAGGUGCAGUGAGCCGAGAUCAUGCCACUGUACUCCAGCCUGGGUGACAGAGCAAGACUCUGUCUCUA
rnacentral:SRP_RNA from 1 species